GAGGAAAAAAAAUUGAAUUGAUAGCUGGUUACUACAUAUUAGCACCUAACUAAUUAAUUGUUGACAAGUGAAUUAAAUCAGUGAUCAAUCUAUAUACAGUAGCAACCAAAGAAACCAAACACUGCCUCGCCGAUUAAAUUGAACUUAAAACCGCUGACAACAUUCACAUCUGGAACUUGAUUGAAGUAAUAUCAUUAGCUUCAACUGCCUCUGCCUCUCUACAGGUGCCUGAAAU
rnacentral:lncRNA from 1 species